CACACUACUUACUGUAAGUUGCUCUGGAUAAGAGCAUCUGCUAAAUCACUGAAA
rfam:Salmo salar isolate Sally breed double haploid chromosome ssa11, whole genome shotgun sequence.